AUGUAUACGUUGUUAUUAUUGCUUUCCAUAGACAGGCGCUCGGUCCAUGCUGCUGGCCCACGAUCAGCGCACGAUCUGCCCACGAUCAGAGUUCACAGUUGGGCAUCUACAUGUGUUCAGGCUAUGGCUGUUCAUUGUCUCCAAACAUUUUUCUCUGAACAUUCUUGUGCGCCUGGUCAUUUUCAGGCUACAAGUGUGCUUCUCUUUAAACACUUCUGGGGACCAAAAGGUGGGUGCUGUAGCAGUGGUGAAGCGGCCGCCGGCGAGGAGCAAUGGCACUGUAAGAUGCACUUCAAAGUGUCCGUGUUAAUGCCUCAACGGAAACUGUUUUGUGUAGUUUUGUAUUUCAGUGCAAAGCACACUCAACUCCUUGAAACCGCCGAUGCCCAGCUGAUGUGUCUUCGUGUCUUGCUAGUUGAUAUCUUUGUCCUACAUAAGCUAAUGUUGUUUGUGUCUACAGUGUCUACAGCAGAACUCAGUUGUCUGCAGCAAAACUCCAGUUGCAUCACAUUUGUUUGUGUUUAUCCUCUUAAAAAUUGGCAAUUGUUGCAGGUCGGCUUUGCCAGAUGCGUUGGUUAA
rnacentral:rRNA from 1 species